GCCACGUGACCCGGUUGCUAUGGCACCCGCGGGAACAAUCGGGCCCGCGGCCCCGCCCCACCCACCAACCUUCCCGGCCCUGGGAAGAGCCCCUCCCUGGCCCCAGACACCCUCGGAGGCACUCGGGUUUCGGGGAGCUCUGUGAGUGAAGGCCGGCCUAGGACCAGUAAGAUCGAGAAGUGCCUGCACCCGGUGCCUUUCAUCCAGACUAAUUUGGCUGCAGUAACUCGUUCAAGGGACGAUCACUUUGGAUAGCUUAUUACAGCUCUUCUCACGACAUUUCCUGGCGUGCAUGUCACAAGUCGCUAGGAUCAAGAACCAAGUCAGUUUUGCUCUCAGGGGCUCUUGGGGCCACCAGCCAAGGUCGUGCUAGAUGCCCUCCCUGCUCCAGCCCUGCUCUGGGCUCAGGAUGCGGAGGCCGACACGGUGGAGGGAAAUGCCUCCCGUCUCCCUCGGGCCUCCUCCUCUCCGCCUGGGUGGGGCCUCCCAGGAAGCCUGGAGUGUGUUCUUCCCCACCCCUGCCCUUGCCAGGUGUCCCGGCCCCUUGCGCCCGCCAGCACCCCUGGCCUUGGCUUGGCCUCCUCCGACCCGUUCACGCGGAGCACGUCUGGUGCCGUGGGUGUGGGUGUGGGUGGGCGUCCACAGUGUGGAGAAACUGAGGCCCAGAGAAAUCCUUGGCCACACUUGAGGGAAGGAAGUCAUGGUUCGUGGCAAAGAACGUGUCCUUGGAGGGAAAAGGGACUUGGGUCCUGGAUUGCCUGGGGGAUCUGGAGUGAGUGCAGGAGGGAGGGGGGGACGCCGAGAGGGGCCGCGGGCAUGCCGGUCUGACACUCCAGAGCGGGGUCCGCAGUCUGGGGCCUCAUCGCUGUGUUCUCCACCCACCCCCCCCACCCCCCCCCCCCC